rnacentral:rRNA from 1 species
UUUAUUGGAGAGUUUGAUCCUGGCUCAGGAUGAACGCUGGCGGCGUGCCUAAUACAUGCAAGUCGAGCGAAUGGAUUGAGAGCUUGCUCUCAAGAAGUUAGCGGCGGACGGGUGAGUAACACGUGGGUAACCUGCCCAUAAGACUGGGAUAACUCCGGGAAACCGGGGCUAAUAC